UCACCCCUUCACAUUUCAUUGUGUGAGUACUUUCUCAGUAAUGACAAAGCUGUCUCAUGUUAAAUAUGUCUCACAUGUGUCUCUCAUUACAGUACGCCUGGUAUUUUGCCACAGAGGCUACUUUUGACUUCAGUAUUCAUGACAUGUCUUUCCUGAGACGGUGGUGGUGUGUUGUCCUGGUGGAAGACCUUGGGCUGGAAGGGUAUGGGAGGAAGUUCGCCCACUUUACGGAGGAAGGAAAAUCAACCCUCCGAGACAAUGUCCCACCUGUCUUCAGGAUUGCACGAAAAAGGAGACUUUCAAGUACUUCAUGUGUCUUUAUGGCUCCUGCAAUGCCAUUGGACUCUGACAAGGACCAUGCUUAUAAUAAGAGGC
ensembl:lncRNA